UGUUUGUACUGAUAAAGACUGAGUAAGCAGAACUGCUGAGACUCAGGAAGAAACGUAUCUAUGGCAUGGAGUGCAAAGUCCUGUUUGAAUUUUUUUAAUGGAUCUCAGUUAGGCACUGUUAGUUUCCAUGUGGCAAGGUCCCAGGUGUGGUGACGUUAUCCAUGGCUUUCUGUCACACUACCCACUCUAGUCCAAGGUGUAGGAGAGAGAAUUUGUGAGGAGGAAAAGAAUAUGUAACUGCAUACUUCAGUUCUUCUGAAUUUUUUAAGAGAGGAACCAUGGACAAUAUGUGAAAAUGCUGGAAGAGUUAUUUUGGUCCUCUAAAUAAUGAUACACCUAUGGAGUCG